rnacentral:tRNA from 1 species
GGCCCCGUAGCUCAAGUGGUUAGCAGCGUCCUUGUGACAACAUUUGAAACUCAAGAGUAGUUGCAGGUUCGAGUCCUGCCGGGGCCU